rnacentral:rRNA from 1 species
AAAGGAAUAGACGGGGGCCCGCACAAGCGGUGGAGCAUGUGGUUUAAUUCGAUGCAACGCGAAGAACCUUACCAGGUCUUGACAUCUGGCGAAUCCUUAUGAAAGUAGGGAGUGCCUUUUAGGAACGCCAAGACAGGUGGUGCAUGGUUGUCGUCAGCUCGUGUCGUGAGAUGUUGGGUUAAGUCCCGCAACGAGCGCAACCCCUGCUAUUAGUUGCUAACAAGUAGUGUUGAGCACUCUAAUGGGACCGCCUGUGACAAGCAGGAGGAAGGUGGGGAUGACGUCAAAUCAUCAUGCCCUUUAUGACCUGGGCUACACACGUGCUACAAUGGAUGGUACAGAGAGCAGCAAAACCGUGAGGUCAAGCGAAUCUCAAAAAGCCAUUCUCAGUUCGGAUUGUAGUCUGCAACUCGACUACAUGAAGUCGGAAUCGCUAGUAAUCGCGAAUCAGCAUGUCGCGGUGAAUGCGUUCCCGGGCCUUGUACACACCGCCCGU